rnacentral:rRNA from 1 species
UACGUAGGGCGCGAGCGUUGUCCGGAAUUAUUGGGCGUAAAGAGCUCGUAGGCGGUCUGUCGCGUCGGCUGUGAAAACCCGGAGCUCAACUCCGGGCCUGCAGUCGAUACGGGCAAACUAGAGUACUGCAGGGGAGACUGGAAUUCCUGGUGUAGCGGUGAAAUGCGCAGAUAUCAGGAGGAACACCGGUGGCGAAGGCGGGUCUCUGGGCAGUAACUGACGCUGAGGAGCGAAAGCGUGGGGAGCGAACAGG